rnacentral:rRNA from 1 species
UACGUAGGGGGCAAGCGUUGUCCGGAAUCAUUGGGCGUAAAGAGCGCGUAGGCGGCCCAGUAAGUCCGCUCUGAAAGUCAGGGGCUCAACCCCUGGAUGCGGGUGGAUACUGCUGGGCUAGAGUCCGGAAGAGGUGAGUGGAAUUCCUGGUGUAGCGGUGAAAUGCGCAGAUAUCAGGAAGAACACCCGUGGCGAAGGCGGCUCUCUGGGACGGUACUGACGCUGAGACGCGAAAGCGUGGGGAGCGAACAGG